rnacentral:rRNA from 1 species
AUUGAACGCUGGCGGCAGGCCUAACACAUGCAAGUCGAACGGUAACAGGAAGCAGCUUGCUGCUUCGCUGACGAGUGGCGGACGGGUGAGUAAUGUCUGGGAAACUGCCUGAUGGAGGGGGAUAACUACUGGAAACGGUAGCUAAUACCGCAUAACGUCGCAAGCCCAAAGAGGGGGACCUUAGGGCCUCUUGCCAUCGGAUGUGCCCAGAUGGGAUUAGCUAGUAGGUGGGGUAACGGCUCACCUAGGCGACGAUCCCCAGCCGGUCUGAGAGGAUGACCAGCCACACUGGAACUGAGACACGGUCCAGACUCCUACGGGAGGCAGCAGUGGGGAAUAUUGCACAAUGGGCGCAAGCCUGAUGCAGCCAUGCCGCGUGUAUGAAGAAGGCCUUCGGGUUGUAAAGUACUUUCAGCGGGGAGGAAGGGAGUAAAGUUAAUACCUUGGCUCAUUGACGUUACCCGCAGAAGAAGCACCGGCUAACUCCGUG